AACGAACGCUGGCGGCAGGCCUAACACAUGCAAGUCGAACGCCGUAGCAAUACGGAGUGGCAGACGGGUGAGUAACGCGUGGGAACAUACCCUCCGGUUCGGAAUAACUCAGGGAAACUUGAGCUAAUACCGGAUACGUCCAAGGUUUUAAUCGGCCUUGGAGAAAGAUUUAUCGCUGGAGGAUUGGCCCGCGUCUGAUUAGCUUGUUGGUGAGGUAAUGGCUCACCAAGGCGACGANCAGUAGCUGGUCUGAGAGGAUGAUCAGCCACAUUGGGACUGAGACACGGCCCAAACUCCUACGGGAGGCAGCAGUGGGGAAUAUUGGACAAUGGGCGAAAGCCUGAUCCAGCCAUGCCGCGUGAGUGAUGAAGGCCUUAGGGUUGUAAAGCUCUUUACCCGGGAAGAUAAUGACGGUACCGGGAGAAUAAGCCCCGGCUAAC
rnacentral:rRNA from 1 species